CUUCCUAACAGUGCGGUUAAGGCUUAGAGAUGACACUAUAUUAAGUGCUUCUAGGAGUGACCUAGCAGGUAACAGACUUGCCUGGGGGGAAGAGGGGCUGAGGAAGAUGGCCACUAAGUUCUCUGUGACAAGUACCCAGACAGCACUAUUUUUAGCUGCCCUUUCUGGGCAAAGCUCCACCUCUUGCAUUUUAAUGGAGAAAUAAUUCUCACAGUGCCUCAAGCUGUAGCCUGCAGGUGUCACAUCCAUAUUAAAAAGGGGACAGAGCAAGGGUUCAUUUGCCUGGCUUGAGUUGUGGCUGGAAUUCAACUCCAGAACCAUUUGUAACCAAGGCUGUGAAGACCAAUUAGUAUAUCUGACCACUCUGAGGGAUGAGACUGGUAGAAGUGAAAUCAGCAUGGCCAGGGGCCUUGAAUCACCCAGUCUUUCUCUAUCUGCCUCUUUCCUCCAGAAUGCUCUGCUGUUCACAGGCAUUAAUGGUGCCUUCCAAGAGCUCUGUUCAGGGACAGGCCUGUGACCUUGCUCAUCCCAGAAGGCAGUUGUUGAGUAGGAUGCUGAUCCUUUUGGGCCAAUGAGCAGAGACCUUGGCUAAUCUGAGUGGGGCAAUGUUAGCAUAUCCUGUUGCAAAGCCCAAGUAUUAAACUAAGAUACGGAGCCAAAGUUUGCCCCAAGUAGCCAAACCCCAAGCCUCCAAGGGCAGGGAACCCACAGAGAAGCUGGAGGCUGACAUGAAGUGAGGAGGCAGAAUAGAUGGGGGUGGGGAGCAGCAGAUCCAAAUGCAAACAAAAGAGAAAUGUAUAAAAUGCUCGCCUUCACUUCCGUCCCCCACUCAGAGGGAAGCACUAUUAAGGAUUUGCUGUCCUUCCAGACUUUUCCCCAGGUUACACAUUUACAAAAAUGAAGUCAGACAUAUUAUUCUGCAACUUUUUGUUGUUUUUUCUUUACCAAAGUCAGUCCUUCUGUUUCUUUACUUUUUAAACAAGGUGUAACAUAUAUCUAGUGUUUAAAAGACAGUAGUCCUCAGUGUAUAGCCCCAUGAAUUUUCACACAAGUAUCUCUACCCAUGCAAUCAUCAUCCAGGUCAAGAUAUAAAACACUUUUAAAAUCCAGAAACUUCCCCAGAGCCCCUUUGUUAUGGAAAGAGCCAAGGUCUGAGUAAAUCUGAUGGGGUAUUACGUGUGGAUUUCGAAGAAAUAACUCAGAGGCCUAGCUGUGAAAGACACAGGUUUACUACUGGCGGUUCCCUGAGUCUCUGCAGCACAGGGUUCACAGCGAGUGUAGGAAACAAGACAAACUGCACGGGGGCCCAGGCUUGCACACAGCUGUGGGAGAUCUGAACGCUAGCUGAUUCUCUACAGUUGUUCACAGCCCAGGCUCUCAUCUACCCUGUUUCCCAGCAAGU